CCUACGGGUGGCAGCAGUGGGGAAUAUUGGGCAAUGGGCGCAAGCCUGACCCAGCAACGCCGCGUGAAGGAAGAAGGCUUUCGGGUUGUAAACUUCUUUUAAGAGGGAAGAGCAGAAGACGGUACCUCUUGAAUAAGCCACGGCUAACUACGUGCCAGCAGCCGCGGCAAUACGUAGGUGGCCAGCGUUGUCCGGAUUUAGUGGGUGUAAAGGGCGUGUAGCCGGGCUGACAAGUCAGCUGUGAAAUCCCGUGGCUCAAACACGGAACUGCAUUGGAAACUGUCGGUCUUGAGUAUCGGAGAGGCAGGCGGAAUUCGUAGUGUAGCGGUGAAAUGCGUAGAUAUUAGGAGGAACACCAGUGGCGAAGGCGGCCUGCUGGACGACAACUGACGGUGAGGCGCGAAAGCGUGGGGAGCAAACAGGAUUAGAUACCCCUGUAGUC
rnacentral:rRNA from 1 species